UACGUAGGGUGCGAGCGUUGCCCGGAUUUAUUGGGCGUAAAGGGCGCGUAGGCGGUCACGCACGUCCGUUGUGAAAUCGCUCGGCUCAACUGGGCGGGGUCAGCGGAUACGGCGUGGCUGGAGCAAGCUAGGGGGCAAUGGAAUUCCCGGUGUAGUGGUGGAAUGCGUAGAGAUGCGGAGGAACACCGAUGGCGAAGGCAGCCCCCUGGGCUAACACUGACGCUGAGGCACGAAAGCGUGGGGAGCAAACAGG
rnacentral:rRNA from 1 species